GUCACUGAGGGCUCUUGUUAAAAUGCAGAUACUGAUUCUGUAUGUCUGGAGGAGGACUAUGAUUCUGCAUUUCUAACAAGAUCUCAAGUGAUGCUGA
rnacentral:pre_miRNA from 1 species